GACGAACGCUGGCGGCGUGCUUAACACAUGCGAGUCGAACGGAAAGGCCCUGCUUUUGUGGGGUGCUCGAGUGGCGAACGGGUGAGUAACACGUGAGUAACCUGCCCUUGACUUUGGGAUAACUUCAGGAAACUGGGGCUAAUACCGGAUAGGAGCUCCUGCUGCAUGGCGGGGGUUGGAAAGUUUCGGCGGUUGGGGAUGGACUCGCGGCUUAUCAGCUUGUUGGUGGGGUAGUGGCUUACCAAGGCUUUGACGGGUAGCCGGCCUGAGAGGGUGACCGGCCACAUUGGGACUGAGAUACGGCCCAGACUCCUACGGGAGGCAGCAGUGGGGAAUAUUGCACAAUGGGCGGAAGCCUUAUGCAGCAACGCCGCGUGCGGGAUGACGGCCUUCGGGUUGUAAACCGCUUUCGCCUGUGACGAAGCGUGAGUGACGGUAAUGGGUAAAGAAGCACCGGCUAACUACGUG
rnacentral:rRNA from 1 species